GUGAGUAACGCGUGGAUGAUCUACCUUUGAGAUGGGGAUAGCUUCUAGAAAUAGGAGGUAAUACCGAAUAACCUUAUUAUGUUAUGACGUAGUAAGAAAAGGAGCGUCAGCUCCGCUUAAAGAUGAGUCUGCGUCCCAUUAGCUAGUUGGUAAGGUAAAGGCCUACCAAGGCAACGAUGGGUACCCGGCCUGAGAGGGUGAACGGGCACAUUGGGACUGAGAUACGGCCCAAACUCCUACGGGAGGCAGCAGCUGAGAAUCUUCCGCAAUGGACGAAAGUCUGACGGAGCGACACCGCGUGAACGAUGAAGGCCGAAAGGUUGUAAAGUUCUUUUGCAGACAAAGAAUAAGGAUAGAAGGAAAUGACUAUCUGAUGACGGUAGUUAUGCGAAUAAGCCCCGGCUAAUUACGUGCCAGCAGCCGCGGUAAUACGUAAGGGGCGAGCGUUGUUCGGAAUUAUUGGGCGUAAAGGGCAUGUAGGCGGUUAGGUAAGCCUGAUGUGAAAUGUACGAGCUUAACUCGUAAACUGCAUUGGGUACUGCUUGACUUGAAUCAUGGAGGGGAAACUGGAAUUCCAAGUGUAGGGGUGGAAUCUGUAGAUAUUUGGAAGAACACCGGUGGCGAAGGCGGGUUUCUAGCCAAUGAUUGACGCUAAGGUGCGAAGGUGCGGGGAGCAAACAGGAUUAGAUACCCUGGUAGUCCGCACAGUAAACGAUGUACACUAGGUGUUGGGGUAAGACUCAGUGCCGGAGCAAACGCAAUAAGUGUACCGCCUGGGGAGUAUGCUCGCAAGAGUGAAACUCAAAGGAAUUGACGGGGGCCCACACAAGCGGUGGAGCAUGUGGUUUAAUUC
rnacentral:rRNA from 1 species